GAUGAACGCUGGCGGCGUGCCUAAUACAUGCAAGUCGAGCGAACAGAUGAGGAGCUUGCUCCUCUGACGUUAGCGGCGGACGGGUGAGUAACACGUGGAUAACCUACCUAUAAGACUGGGAUAACUUCGGGAAACCGGAGCUAAUACCGGAUAAUAUAUUGAACCGCAUGGUUCAAUAGUGAAAGACGGUUUUGCUGUCACUUAUAGAUGGAUCUGCGCCGCAUUAGCUAGUUGGUAAGGGAACGGCUUACCAAGGCAACGAUGCGUAGCCGACCUGAGAGGGUGAUCGGCCACACUGGAACUGAGACACGGUCCAGACUCCUACGGGAGGCAGCAGUAGGGAAUCUUCCGCAAUGGGCGAAAGCCUGACGGAGCAACGCCGCGUGAGUGAUGAAGGUCUUCGGAUCGUAAAACUCUGUUAUUAGGGAAGAACAAAUGUGUAAGUAACUAUGCACGUCUUGACGGUACCUAAUCAGAAAGCCACGGCUAACUACGUG
rnacentral:rRNA from 1 species